rnacentral:rRNA from 1 species
CGGACGGGUGAGGAAUACAUGGAAUCUACUCUGUCGUGGGGGAUAACGUAGGGAAACUUACGCUAAUACCGCAUACGACCUACGGGUGAAAGCAGGGGAUCUUCGGACCUUGCGCGAUUGAAUGAGCCGAUGUCGGAUUAGCUAGUUGGCGGGGUAAAGGCCCACCAAGGCGACGAUCCGUAGCUGGUCUGAGAGGAUGAUCAGCCACACUGGAACUGAGACACGGUCCAGACUCCUACGGGAGGCAGCAGCU